rnacentral:rRNA from 1 species
UACGUAGGGUGCGAGCGUUGUCCGGAAUUAUUGGGCGUAAAGAGCUCGUAGGCGGUUCGUCGCGUCGAAUGUGAAAACCCGGGGCUCAACUCCGGGCCUGCAUUCGAUACGGGCUAGCUAGAGUGUGGUAGGGGAGAUCGGAAUUCCUGGUGUAGCGGUGAAAUGCGCAGAUAUCAGGAGGAACACCGGUGGCGAAGGCGGAUCUCUGGGCCAUUACUGACGCUGAGGAGCGAAAGCGUGGGGAGCGAACAGG